AUGUUUGCGCUUGGGGCAAUGACGCAGUUAGUGAAGUGAAACCGAGACGCGUCAAUUGCUGGUUGAAAACUAUUUCCAUUUCUAUGAUCCUUUGUGUAGUAUCAAUUAUUUAUUUAUAUACACUAUACAGGUUGUUUAAAAACCAAUUAUGUUAAAUGGU
rnacentral:snRNA from 20 species